AGGAAGUGUCUUAGCUUCAGCCUUCUACCCAUGGCUGCCCAGCAGAAGGAGGGCACCAGGCCAGGUGAGAGCAGUGUCUCUAGUGGUGCGGUCUUGGCUGCCUCCGUGACUCCACUGGCUCCAAACAUUGACCUUUCAUAAUCACGUUGACACUGGGGAAGACCUAGGAGUUGUGUGGUCCCAGAUCUGCGACUUCUACAGUAGCAGCCUGAAAGGUCAAACUUCAUGGAAACAACCGGAGUGUUCAGCGAUCUGCAGGUGUGAGGGCCUCCUGGGACUUCUGACUGUGGCUGUGGGCAUCACCAGGACCAGGCUCCAUGGGCCCACUCAGUAUAUUUUUCUUCAUUUUCUCAAACCUGGCCCGAUUCCACCUUAAAUUAAUGUUAAACAGCUUUAU